CCCAUCCCGCAGUGCUUCCAAUAAUACAAAAUGACCCCUGAAAAACAGAUGCAAGUAUUUGGGUGGGAGGGAGAAGUCCACUGCUGGCAAGCUCUUUAGGCAAUAUAUGACCGUAAGAUGAAGUCACAAACAUUGCGACUGGAGUCAACUCCCACUCAUCGGUCAGCACAGUCAGUGCUUUAUGUGAAGAAGUACCAGCUGGUGCCACGGUCUCAUAGUCCUCCAUACUUAUUUGUAUGCAUCAGAAACUGGGAAAUGGACAUGAUAUUUAAGCGUAAAUCCAUAACUACCAUCUUUGGCUGUUUAUUUGCAUUAUCCUUUCACAAAAUUCUGCUUUGCUGAGAAAAUUUGUACCAUCCCCCCAGAGCCUGUAGCAAUUAAAGAGAAUAACACCGCUGACACAGUCGUUGUCCAUAUUAACACAACAACAAAGGAUGUAACGCUGAAUCUCACAGAGAAUCCUGGGAAUGCCUUCAGUCUGAGAGGUUCAGAACUGAUAGCAAAGAAAGGCCUGGACUUUGAAACACUUUCAGGUCCUGAAGAACUAACUGUCCAGAUCCGAUGUAAUAAAACUGGCUACAGAAGUAUCACUCUGACUGUGAUUGUUCGUGUUGUGAAUAUCAAUGACAACCCUCCAUCAUUUGACAAGAGCGAAUAUACACUUAACAUAAAUGAGCUUACACCAGUUAAUAGCAGCAUUGCCCUGAUUGAAGCAAUAGAUGAUGAUUCUGAGGUUCUGUAUUAUUCUAUGGAACCAACUGUGAAUAGGUACUUCAGACUCGAGACCAUGUACAUACCAAGUAUCCUUGUGAACAAGAUUUUAGAUUACGAUGUCAUCCAACAGGUGAAACUGAUCUUGUAU